rnacentral:rRNA from 1 species
UACGAAGGGGGCUAGCGUUGCUCGGAAUCACUGGGCGUAAAGGGUGCGUAGGCGGGUCUUUAAGUCAGGGGUGAAAUCCUGGAGCUCAACUCCAGAACUGCCUUUGAUACUGAAGAUCUUGAGUUCGGGAGAGGUGAGUGGAACUGCGAGUGUAGAGGUGAAAUUCGUAGAUAUUCGCAAGAACACCAGUGGCGAAGCGGCUCACUGGCCCGAUACUGACGCUGAGGCACGAAAGCGUGGGGAG